UAAAAGGGCUUAUUGUUUUCAGAAUUGACCAUUGUCUAAUUCUUCAGCUGUCUUUUCAGAACUGAACAACAAACCACUAUGCUUUCCUCUGAGUCUUCUCGAGAGUAUCUAGCCAAAGUUCUUGGGAUCAUUUUGACAUCUUUUUGACAAUCAGCAGGGAGUAAUGGCAACACAUGCUGGGCACCUAGCUCCCUGGAGACUUGGAACAAAGACAGAAAACCCUGUCAAUGGAGUUCUGUGGUACAAGGGUCAAUCCCCAGGAAAAUAUGCUGCAUUUUAUCAAGAUGUUAUCUCAACAAACAAGAAAUCAAGAAAUCAUAUGAAGAUGAUAGAAUGGGAAGUAACCUAGGGCAACAUUCAACCCCCACCCUCCA
rnacentral:lncRNA from 1 species